rnacentral:rRNA from 1 species
CCUACGGGUGGCAGCAGUGGGGAAUAUUGCACAAUGGGCGAAAGCCUGAUGCAGCAACGCCGCGUGAAGGAAGAAGGGUUUCGGCUCGUAAACUUCUAUCAACAGGGACGAAAGAAAUGACGGUACCUGAAUAAGAAGCCCCUGCUAACUACGUGCCAGCAGCCGCGGUAAUACGGAGGGGGCCAGCGUUAUCCGGAAUUACUGGUGGUAAAGAGUGAGUAGGCGGCAUGGUAAGACCGAUGUGAAAGCGGUGGGCUUAACCUGAGGAUUGUAUUUUGAACUUUCAAGCUAGAGUACAGGAGAGGAAAGCGGAAUUCCUAGUGUAGCGGUGAAAUGCGUAGAUAUUAGGAAGAACACCAGUGGCGAAGGCGGCUUUCUGGACUGAAACUGACGCUGAGGCACGAAAGCGUGGGGAGCGAACAGGAUUAGAUACCCGUGUAGUC